CAAGUUAUAGCUAUAUUAAGUAUUUUAUUUACAUUAAAAGGAAAUUUAUAUUAAUUUGU
rnacentral:tRNA from 2 species